rnacentral:rRNA from 1 species
GAUGAACGCUGGCGGCGUGCCUAAUACAUGCAAGUCGAGCGAACGGACGAGAAGCUUGCUUCUCUGAUGUUAGCGGCGGACGGGUGAGUAACACGUGGAUAACCUACCUAUAAGACUGGGAUAAUUUCGGGAAACCGGAGCUAAUACCGGAUAAUAUUUUGAACCGCAUGGUUCAAAAGUGAAAGACGGUCUUGCUGUCACUUAUAGAUGGAUCCGCGCUGCAUUAGCUAGUUGGUAAGGUAACGGCUUACCAAGGCAACGAUGCAUAGCCGACCUGAGAGGGUGACCGGCCACACUGGAACUGAGACACGGUCCAGACUCCUACGGGAGGCAGCAGUAGGGAAUCUUCCGCAAUGGGCGAAAGCCUGACGGAGCAACGCCGCGUGAGUGAUGAAGGUCUUCGGAUCGUAAAACUCUGUUAUUAGGGAAGAACAUAUGUGUAAGUAACUGUGCACAUCUUGACGGUACCUAAUCAGAAAGCCACGGCUAACUACGUG